rnacentral:rRNA from 1 species
UACGAAGGGGGCUAGCGUUGCUCGGAAUUACUGGGCGUAAAGGGCGCGUAGGCGGACAGUUUAGUCAGAGGUGAAAGCCCAGGGCUCAACCUUGGAAUUGCCUUUGAUACUGGCUGUCUUGAGUUCGGGAGAGGUGAGUGGAAUGCCGAGUGUAGAGGUGAAAUUCGUAGAUAUUCGCAAGAACACCAGUGGCGAAGGCGGCUCACUGGCCCGAUACUGACGCUGAGGCGCGAAAGCGUGGGGAGCAAACAGG